rnacentral:rRNA from 1 species
AUGUCAGCCAUUGAAGGCCGUCGCUCCCGGCAGGACCGCACACAGCUCGCCGCCAGCGAAGCCAGGUCCCUCCGAGUGACUGGGUCGCGGGGCGGCGCCACCCGUGGGUCAAACAGCGCGACGACCUUCCCCUUGCGUAGCAGGGGCACCGCCCACUCGACGACGGAGGGCGGCGAGUACUGAACGUCGAUGGCCUUGCGUCCGCUCAUGAUCUCCAGCAGCAGGAUCCCGAAGCUGAAGACGUCGGUCUUGGUGCUGAGGCUCUCCGGGGUGACGUAG